rnacentral:rRNA from 1 species
GACGAACGCUGGCGGCGUGCCUAAUACAUGCAAGUAGAACGAGUUGCGAACGGGUGAGUAACGCGUGAUAACCUGCCUCAUAGCGGGGGAUAACUACGCGAAAGAGUAGCUAAUACCGCAUACCCUCGGAUGUGCCCAAAGGGGAUGAGCUAGUAGGUGGGGUAAUGGCUCACCUAGGCGACGAUCCCUAGCUGGUCUGAGCGGAAGACCAGCCACACUGGAACUGGGACGCGGUCCAGACUCCUACGGGAGGCAUCAGUGGGGAAUAUUGCACAAUGGGCGCAAGCCUGAUGCAGCCAUGCCGCGUGUAUGAAGAAGGCCUUCGGGUUGUAAAGUACUUUCAGCGAGGAGGCGUUACUCGCAGAAGAAGCACCGGCUAACUCCGUGCCAGCAGCCGCGGUAAUAC